UCUCUGUGAGAUGAAAAGCUAGGGCCUGGAGCCUCGUGUGCUCAAUGUCAUGGAAGAUAACCGACCAGGUUGGCUGGUCCCAGCUAGCAUGGAGCUCCUCAUUGAUCAUCAUAUUGCUGACAAUGCUGUGGAUCUGUGCCUCCGAGAGGUCAAACAUUUUUGUCAGAUGAUCUAAGCUCAAUGAAUGAUAGGAUGAUGAAUAGGUAAAGAGAUAGGUCCUCAGAGCCUCUUCCUUAAUCUUAGCCUUGAGCAUCUCCAGGACAGAGUCCUUGUUCCUGAGGAGUUUCCAGAUGUCAAGAGACUGGACAACAUCAAAGGCCUUCUGAUAGUCUCCCUUGCUUAGGGCCCUUGUGGCUGCCAUUACAUGGUCCCUCACAUUUUCCGGGGGUCCAGUGAAUGUGUGCCUCUCACUCACCUCGAGCAACCGCCGGAAGUUCUUACUUAUGACUUUGCGCUUAACAUCGAGGGUGUUUGCAGCCAUAUUGGGGACUUCUAAAAGCAUGGCACAAAUUAGAUGAACAGCUUCCAGAAGCUCAAGGUUUAUGUGCAUGUGAUAAGGCAUUUGACGUCUCCUUUCCAUUCUCUCCUAAAAUGAGAAUAAAGAAGUUUCACAGCGUGAGCUCACACACAAAAGUGAUAAUCCUCUCAAGGGGAAAGGGAGAAGAGAGAAAAACUAAAUAAAAUUGUUUGCAGGGUAAAACAGAUCUUUCUCAAAUGGGAAAAAACAAGUUAUUCACUAAACCAAAUCCAGAGCAUAAGAGGCAUAUAUAGAUGAACCACUUGCUUGGAAAGUAGAAAAUAUUAUUGAGUAAUACAGGGUUGUUCAUAAGGAAAUUUUGACAACCAUCCACAGCAGAUAAUGACAUUGUACCUGCUCUGGGGUCUUCUCAUGGUACCUACUUUGAGAAACACCUUGUGCGAGUAAUUCCUUUACCCUUCCACCUGAAUAUAAUUCAGAAAGGCAACCAUGUGCUUCAGCUAUAAGGCCGAUACGAAAUGCACACAGACCAAGCUGUGCCAUAGCCCUGUUAAAAAGUAUCUGGGUCGAAAUGUCCAUAUGCUGGAUGCUAUCCUGCAGGUGACUCAUCAACAACAGGUCACGGGAAGUUGAGAACUCGUCCAAGAGAGCAUGGUGAUAGAUGUCACAAAGCAUUGCGCGGGCCUUAGUUCGCUCAUCUCCAUACUUGUAUAUAAGGGAUACCAGAAUAUCCAUCAGUGUCCUGCUAUUCUCAGGAAAAGUUGGUUUCCUCGGCACAAGCUCAGGAGUAACAACAAAUGCAGCUGGGCCCCUGCUCUCCUCAACCUUAGGCUCUUCCCCUGUCUCAUCAUCAUCAUCUUCAGUCUGCUCAGCCAAUUUCCUCAUAGCAUCAUAGACACCCUGAGGCUUAUAAUAUACAAGCUCCACCCGCCGUAAAGCCACCUUUGAAGCAGCUUUAAAAUCUCCAACACGUUCCAAGUAGUCUUGAACAUUUUGAGCAAGGACUAAAAACAUGGGCUCAUCCCUAAGCCUUUCGACAUAUUCACGUGUGUGGGGGUCAAUGCACUGCAAGCUCUUGAAAAACUCGGAAUCUAUCCUCUCUAGGAAGGCUACCAAAUUUCCCCAAAUCCUAAUUGUCCCAUUAUAGUCCGGACCUUUCUCAGACUCAUUCUCAUCAGGCUCCACUGAGUCACUAACUACUAUGUUGGGAUACUGCACAAGAAUGUCAAGGAUAACAAGCAUAUUCUGCACGCACUUCUUCCACACAUUGAUUGGCAUAUGACCAGUGAGACCCGGAUUAACAUCAAACUGAGCAGAUACAACACUGAAAAGAAUCUCAAGCUUCUGGGCAGGGGUCUUGGCUACCUUAGUCAAAAAAGUGAGCUGUUCAACCUGCUCAAACCGACCAGUCCCCUUCCUCCCACGAGCAGCCACAACCUCUUUAAACUUCUUGUUAACAGUUUCCCAUGUAAUCUCACUAGGAUUCCUAAAUUGCUUAUCCAUUAGCUUGUCUUUUCGGCUCAUCUUCUUCUCCCAACCAUCAUCGAGACUAUCCCCAGCUGCAUCAUCCUCAUCAUCAUCACCCUCAUCAGAAGCUUCAAUCUUGGUAGGGUCCUCAAUUUCCGAAUUUUCUGAUUCUUCUUCCUCUGAUUCCUCAUCCACUUCCACCUCUUCCUCACUUUCAGGAUGCUCUCUGUACUUAUUAAUCAACUCCUCAUACUGCUUAUUAUUCUUCUUGAGCUUCUGCUUCAUCGAAUUCAAGGCCUUGGCAUUGCUGCUACUCAUCUUCUUCUUAGCAUCCUUAUUGGCCAAAGCCUGACUCAAGAAGUCUUCCAACAUCACGAGGGCUUUAAUGUAAAGAGCGGGAACCUUCUGAGACUCGGUGACCCUCAUGACUUUCUCGAGCUGCUUAUUAAUCUUGUCGAAGCUCUCCUGCAAACUGACCCAAUCAUUAAUCUUCAUAGCAUUUUUCAUCUGGUCAACAGUGGCAGACAUUUCCUCGAAACGCUUGUCCUUCGCAGACUUAACAACCCGAUGCUGACCAUCGGAAUCAUCGCUGUCGCUCGCAUUCCCCUGGAGGUAUCUGCUUCCGGCAGCUGGAGCAGCGGACUCACCUCCCCCCUUUUCUUCGACAUCACUGCCAUAAUCGCUGCUCUCCUCGUCAGUCUCGUUCCCACCCUGUUUUUAACAAAAUUCAUUCAUGGUGAGAACUCUCAGUAAUACCGGUUACAAGUCAACGAGGCAUCUAGUGCACUAUGUGGGCACGUUUUUAUGACAGAGACAAGUACUAAUGUCCACAAUUUGAGCGCAAAAAACAAAGUUAGAAAGCAUAGACUCGAACCUGUGUCCAAAAACGCGACGCCAUUUUCUUCGGGCGCGAAUGAAAUCAGUCAAUUCGCCUCAGCGCUGCACAUCCACAUCGCACCGUAAGGCCAAUAGGACAUCAAAUAGAUUCAAAUAGAGUAAUACAAAACUAGACAAAAAAAUCCAUAUAACUCAGAAUAAAUUUGAUGGGAUCUUAUUAAAAAAAAGGUUUGUUUUUUUAUUUUUUAUUUUUUUGUCCCUUCACAAAAGCAGAAGCAGUAAGCAUCCGUGCAUUUGGAAGCCGGAGAGCACUCCGCUGGCACCGGGAUAUGGCCAAGGGCAGGGGCGGGCCGGAGGCCAUAUCCCCCUUUCCCGCCGCACGGGGCGGAGAACUGCGCCCGCGGCGCGGGGAGCGCCGCGGAAAAAGGGGGUUAUAACUAGAGAGAGAGAUGCGACGGACCUCGGAGGACGGAGGCGAGCGGCGGCGACGACGAGCUCGCCGCGGCGAGGCGACGGGCGGAGCCGGCGACGGCCAGAUGCCCAAAGCGAAGAGGAAGUACGAAAGAGCAAGAGCUGAGCACGGGGAAUUAGGGUUUCUCCAUUUCAGUUUUUUUUUUUUAAUUUUUUUUCAAAAAAAAAAUUAACUGUCAAUUCAGUUGAAGCCCAUUAAACUUUGGACACGAGGGAGACGGGUCGGUCAAUGAGCCGGUUGACGGAUCGGUCUGACUCUGGGUCGACCGGUUCAGCCGGCGGAUUGAUGAUUUGCAUAAUCUACAAUUGAAUGAUGUAAAAUGUAUUUAUCCAAGUCAUUGGAGAAAGUAAAAGGGCCUGAAUCUUAGGGGUGGAUGCUGCUUGAGGUCGGGUUCCCUCGAUUGAAUCCGGCUGAUAUCGGGUUUUGACCGGUUCAUGACCAUUUCGGGACCUGAACCUUGAGUCCUAUUCCCGAUUGAAUUGGGUGGGUCUUGUCCAAAUUUAAAAGCACCAAGGUAGGGGAUGAUACAAACACGAAGCGGAUAAGGUAUGAGGAAAUGUUUAUUAGAAAACCAAAUAAGGAAAGUACAAUCUAGAACGUGAUGGCUAAUUAGUAUCGUGUAUUCAUAAUCAUGUAGGUUUUCCACGUGAUCUCUUUUAAUUUUUAAAAAUGUUUUGCCUUUCACCAUAAUGAAGAGGGCUUUUCUCAAAAUUAUGCGAAUUUAAUCAUGUCGAUUUUGAACUAGUUAUGUUGUCUCUUGUUUUGAUUUGAGUUUCUCCUAGUAUAUUUAUGUUGUAUUUCAGUUAAAUUCUCAUAUGUCGUCAAGAAUUAGUGACACAUUGAAUUAGUACAUGGAUUUCCUUAACAAGACUUUUCUUAUUUACACUUCCAAGUAGCACAUUGAAUUAAUACAUGGAUUUCCCACGUGAAGUUUCGAAAUUUCAUUUCACAUUUAUUUCGGAUUUUAUAAAUACAAAUUGAUCUUUAACACAUACAACUAAAAUUUAAACAGAAAGCGGCUUUAGCUUAUUUAGUUAAAUCACGUUAAUCAACUUAAUUAUUAAACCAUCUAUUAGGGUUGGUUCUCCUCAUAUAAUUAAUUAAAUUAAAUGAACAUUCCUUAACCAGUAUUGACUUUUAAUAGCGAUAGAUGUAUUAAAAUUCAUCGUAUGCCUAUUUCCAGAGUUCAUACCUGAAUAGCCUAAUUUCUAUAUCUACAUAUAAGUGUGGCGUGAGAUACAAAUUUACGAUAGUCUAGAUUAUUACUUAUUAUUCGCUUAUUUUGGCAUUGUUUAGUAGAAAGUGAAUGAUUUCAAAAAAUAUUUUUCUAAAAAUAAUUAUUCAUAUUGCUUAAAAUAAUUAGUCAUCGGAAAAUGUUUUUAUUAUUGACAACAAUUUAUAUUUAAAUAUAUUCAUGAAUGAUGGAAAUGUUUUCCAUCUAUUUAUUUUCGUAAGAGAUAUAAACAAUCAUUUUUUGAAAAAAAAUGAUUUUAAAAUUAUUCAUUUUCCGCAAGACAAAUAGAACCUCGUGCUUUCGAUAAUUAAUUUAUUGUAGUCUUCGAUUUUUAUUUGCUAUCUAGAAGAGGCGAACUGCUAGCAAGUUCUGAGUCUUUCAGCUGUAACGUUGCUGUCAGUUUUUCCGUCACGUGACACUUACCGUCCAAAUGUUGAAACCUGCACAAUUUUUGACAGCAUUGCGCUCGGCGUCUGCAUGGCCACCUUCUUGACCUGGAAACUCAUCUUCAUGAAGGGCAUUCUACUACUUGUUCAUUGAUGUUCAUGGUAGGUUUUUGUUGCCGCCAGCUAUCUUAAGGUCAAUCAGCCUAUUCACUCGCAAUGUGAAGUCUUGGACAUCGGCUGUCGAUUGAAGCAAAGGCUACAUCAAUCGGAAGCCAACGUCGCACGACUACCGUGUUAAGAAAAAAGUUCAAAAAGUCAAAAAAGGGAGGUAAAGGAAAAAGAAAGAACAUAAUGCUGUUAUCCUGCCUUUUUGUAAUCUAACAUUAUCCAAAAAUGCAACAACAAUGUGGACGAUGAACGGAGUUUCUAAAAUUGAAAGUAACAGCACAGGAAUAUUCAAAACUUACGCUAUGCCCGCCAAAAAAGGAAAAAAAAAACAGAAAUUAGGUAAAUAUGCUUCUUCAAGUCAAGACUCAGAAAUAGCAGAACAGCUUUCUGCUUGAAAAGCUCACGUAUCAAUCAAUGACAGUCGACGUGGAUCCUUUUCGUCAGAGACCAUUACGAAGUUCCUCUCAUGCGCGAAGCCCCCUGUUCAGACUCACCAUGCGGGCCGAGCUGUUCAUCUGAGAUGACCUUCCUGCAGACCCAGUCUGAUACCUCCCCGAUCCUCCAAAAGUAGAGUCCUGAUAUCGGUUGCUCGCAGAAUAUCCACCUGUGCCACGCGACUGCCUAGAAUAGCCACCCCCUCCGCCUUGGCCGGUUGUCUGUUGCCUCCCGCCACCAGCACUUCCUUGCCUUCCCUGAUUGAAAGACGAGCCCUCUUGCCACCUACCACCACCAACACCUGACCCACCAGCAUAGUCCUGUCCAUCUCUCCUCCUCGGUGGCAGAUCCAAACCGCCGCCAACCCUAGCUUCCACAGCCCUCUCAUUACUUUCUGCCAGAAUUGCCAGUUUCUCUGUAAGAUGGAAUGCCAAGGACUGAAGCCUCGUCUGUUCAAUGUCAUGGAAGACAAUGGACCUGGUCAUCUGGUCCCAGCUAGCAAGGAGCUCCUCAUUGAUCAUCAUCUUGCUGACAAUGCUGUGGGUCUGUGCCUCUGAGAGGUCAAACAUUUUUGUCAGAUGAUCUAAGCUCAAUGAAUGAUAGGAUGAUGAAUAGGUAAAGAGAUAGGUCCUCAGAGCCUCCUCCUUAACCUUAUCCUUGACCAUCUCAAGGACGGAGUCCUUGUUCCUGAGGAGCUUCCAGACGUCAAGAGACUGGACGACAUCAAAGGCCUUCCGGAAGUCUCCCUUGCUUAGGGCCCUUGUCG
rnacentral:lncRNA from 1 species